rnacentral:rRNA from 1 species
UACGAAGGGGGCUAGCGUUGUUCGGAGUUACUGGGCGUAAAGGGCGCGUAGGCGGCGCACCAAGUCAGGCGUGAAAGCCCUGGGCUCAACCCGGGAAUUGCGCUUGAGACUGGUGUGCUUGAGUACGGGAGAGGAUAGUGGAAUUCCAGGUGUAGUGGUGAAAUACGUAGAUAUCUGGAGGAACACCGGCGGCGAAGGCGGCGAACUGGUCGAAUAUUGACACUCAUACACGAAAGCGUGGGGAUCAAACAGG